rnacentral:rRNA from 1 species
AGAGUUUGAUCCUGGCUCAGAUUGAACGCUGGCGGCAUGCUUUACACAUGCAAGUCGAACGGCAGCACGGGGGCAACCCUGGUGGCGAGUGGCGAACGGGUGAGUAAUAUAUCGGAACAUAUCCGGAAGUGGGGGAUAACGUAGCGAAAGUUACGCUAAUACCGCAUAUGCCCUGAGGGGGAAAGGGGGGGAUCGCAAGACCUCUCGCUUUCGGAGUGGCCGAUAUCGGAUUAGCUAGUUGGUGGGGUAAAGGCUCACCAAGGCGACGAUCGGUAGCUGGUCUGAGAGGAUGAUCAGCCACACUGGAACUGAGACACGGUCCAGACUCCUACGGGAGGCAGCAGUGAGGAAUAUUGCGCAAUGGGGGAAACCCUGACGCAGCAACGCCGCGUGGGUGAAGAAGGCCUUCGGGUCGUAAAGCCCUUUCGGACGGGACGAACGCUCCGCGGGGACAAGCCGCGGAGUCUGACGGUACCGUAGGAAGAAGCACCGGCUAACUCCGUGCCAGCCGCCGCGGUAAUUC